UGCUAAGCCAGCACCGCUGUCGCCUCCCUCCAGUCGCCAUCAUGAUCAUCUACCGGGACCUCAUUAGCCAUGACGAGAUGUUCUCCGACAUCUACAAGAUCCGGGAGGUCGCAGAUGGGCUGUGUCUGGAGGUGGAGGGGAAGAUGGUCAGUAGGACAGAGGGUAACAUCGAUGACUCGCUCAUUGGUGGAAAUGCCUCCGCUGAAGGCCCCGAGGGCGAAGGUACCGAAAGCACAGUAAUCACUGGUGUCGAUAUUGUCAUGAACCAUCACUUGCAGGAAACCAGAUUCACAAAAGAAGNAUGGACCUUUGCUGGCAAA